rnacentral:rRNA from 1 species
CCUACGGGGGACAGCAGUGAGGAAUAUUGGGCAAUGGGCGCAAGCCUGACCCAGCAACGCCGCGUGAAGGAAGAAGGCUUUCGGGUUGUAAACUUCUUUUGUCAGGGAAGAGGAGAAGACGGUACCUGACGAAUAAGCCACGACUAACUACGUGCCAGCAGCCGCGGUAAUACGUAGGUGGCAAGCGUUGUCCGGAUUUACUGGGUGUAAAGGGCGUGUAGCCGGGUUGACAAGUCAGAUGUGAAAUCCUGCGGCUUAACCGCAGAACUGCAUUUGAAACUGUUGAUCUUGAGUACUGGAGAGGCAGCUGGAAUUCCUAGUGUAGCGGUGAAAUGCGUAGAUAUUAGGAGGAACACCAGUGGCGAAGGCGGUCUGCUGGACCGCACCUGACGGUGAGGCGCGAAAGCGUGGGGAGCAAACAGGAUUAGAUACCCUAGUAGUC